rnacentral:ribozyme from 11 species
AGUCGUCUGAGCGACUAUAAACAGAGUUUUAGGCUCAGAGCGCCUCCCCUUCGGGGGAGGGUACUA